CCCAAGAGAUCGGGAUAACACCUGGAAACAGAUGCUAAUACCGGAUAACAACAGAUGAUGCCUAUCAACUGUUUAAAAGAUGGUUCUGCUAUCACUCUUGGAUGGACCUGCGGUGCAUUAGCUAGUUGGUAGGGUAACGGCCUGCCAAGGCGAUGAUGCAUAGCCGAGUUGAGAGACUGAUCGGCCACAUUGGGACUGAGACACGGCCCAAACUCCUACGGGAGGCAGCAGCG
rnacentral:rRNA from 1 species